GGAUCGUUAGCUCAGAUGGUAGAGCAGUUGACUCUUAAUCAAUUGGUCGUAGGUUCGACCCCUACACGGUCCACCA
rnacentral:tRNA from 1 species